GUUUAUAUCUCCGGGGACGAGAUUAUUCUCUUUUUUUUUCUCUUGCUGCCUUCAUCGCUUUAUCAUCCACGCCCCCUCCUUUGCUUCACUACAGCGAAUAAUUGCAGAAACCGGACCGUAAAUCUCCGGGAGUGCAGAACAGGACAACCGCUUAACUUAUCCCCUCUUGACUUUCCGUUCUACGUGUUUGAAGUGACUGCAACAGAGAGGCCUUCAGCCCAGUGUUUUCCAAAGUGGAGCGAGCAAUCAAUCAGUGGAGCAGCUCAGCAAACAAAAAGAGCACCCCUGUUGAGCUCUCACAUCUGAGACAAAUCCAUAUCUCAUAUUUCUUCCAUUUUCAUGCAGAUGGAGGGCAGAAAGGGGAGAGUAAGAUGUCUCCGCUCUCGUGACACUGUUCCUAUUACUCUGACAGUUUGAUGUGAUUGCACUGUCAGCCAUCGGAGUCUGCUGGUACUUUAAUAUUCUUGGUUAGCUGAGCUGGUUAGAUGAGGAAAGGUUUGGGAAGCAGUGUUCCUGGGCAUAGACUCAUCAUACAUAUUUCAGUAGCUUCAGACUACAUAUUUUAAAAGCUUCAAGCUUAGUAUCAACCCACAAGUGAAUACCAUAGUUUGUUGUAAGGCUGGCAUAUUUCUUUUUUUUUUCUUUUUUUUUUUUGCUCUUUUGUUGUAGUUCCAACAAGCAGCAAUGUUGCAGCAGCACCCACUGGUUUGUGAUCCCAGAUUUUCAAGCAUACAAGACCUUGAGAUACCUAAAUUCCUCCACUUGGGGGCAGCGACUGAACCCUGACCCAGAGUGGUCACACUGACCUUUUCCAGCCAAAAAUCAUGUCCAUUGACCUUGAGAUGCUAAUUCUCUUUCCCACUAAUUCUCACUCAGCUGCAAAUCACUCCAGUGUAAGCUAGAAGCCACCACCUGCUCAAGCCAUAAAAGUACGUCAUCUGCAAAAAGCAGAGACGAGAGCUUGAGGCCACCAAGGUGAGAGCCACUUGGCUUUGCCUAGAAAUGCUGUCCAUAAAAUUUAUGAACAGAAUCAGUAACAAAGGGCAGCCCUGCCAAAGUCCAGCACCCACUGAGAAUGAGUCCAACUUAUUGCUGGCAAUACAAACCAGGCCAGACACCGCGAUACAGCCAUAGGAUACCCCAAGGGAUGCAGUUAAAUGCCUUCUCAAGUUUGACAAAAUACGUCUCAACAACUCCCAGAAGGAUAUGUAUUCUAAAC
ensembl:lncRNA